UCCUUGCCCCUCGCUGUAACUGAGCGGGAGGUGUUCAGGUCCCCAGAGCAGCAGGGGAAGGUGGGGACUACCACUUCUGCCAUUGCUGGCAAAAUAAUCACCCACUUCCCCAUUGCAUUUACUCUCUCUCCCAACCACGAUGCACCUCUUGGCCCUUGGGCCCUCUCCACUUCUCCUUUCUAAGAGAAGGCACCAAAGCCCAGAAAGCAGUGAGUGAUGCUGGGGUUUGGCUGGUAGGUCUCCUCUGAGGACCCCCCGUACCCCCAGAUCUUCUCACAGAAGCUGGGGUUGGGGGGGCCACAGGGAGAGAUCGGCGGGUGUGAGGGGAAUCAUAGUGGUUGUCACUGGGAGCUGAUCUCCAGGGUGAGGGCAGGGCAUGAGGCAGGAGCAAGAGGAAGUUAGAAGAGCAGAAAAGGGAGGGUUAUAUCCACUGGUCCCCACUUCACAGCCGGACUGUCCCCCGAGCUGGGGCACUAGGGGUGGCCAGAAUGGAGUGGUCUCCCCGGCCCCUCUCUCUCCUGCUGCUGCUUCUCCAGGCCCAGGUGGGUGAGUGACCCCGGGGGCCUGAGCAGCCGGCUAACCUCUCGCCCCAGCUGGGGUCCUGAGGAGGGGUGGAGGUGGGGUCCCAUGGGGAGCUCUGGACUGUAUGUUCCAGCUCUGCCAUGGUUGGGGGGGGAAAGAUUGGGGAGGGGAGACGUGGGGCCGAGGAAGCUGGUGGUGACCCCCAGGGUGGAUGGGAGAGGGCAGACUGAUGUGGGUCCACGGCAAGGUGAAGAGAGUGUCCCCUGGGACCCCAGGUCCAUACUGGGUGGGAGGCUCCAGCCUGCAGGUUCCUCUGUGUUCACAGAGACAGGAAGCCAACGGGAGCUGAUUGGGGCCAUUGAGGGGUCAGUCACCCUCCCCCCGGACAUCCUGGCCGGGCAGCGGGUCGAGAGCAUCAUCUGGACUUGCAACGGAACUGUGGCCGCGGUGAUCUCAGUAGGACCUGGAAACCUCUCUCACACCAUCAAAACCUUUCAACGGUACAGGGAACGAGGUCCCAGAAAUCAAGACUCACCGGCGUGAUGUGGACACUCCUUCUCAAGGGGCUUCUCCUCCUCGUGCUCCUGGGGGUCCUGGCGACCAGGCUCACCCUGGGGCAGCCCCCUCUGUGAUCCCGCCCCCUCACCAAACAGUCCGCAGGGCUCAGAGACGCCGGACUCUCCCUGAACUGUCCCUUCUUGCCUCUGUCUCAGAUACGGAAUCACUCACCUUUAAUAAUGUUGGUAUUUGUUAAGCGCUUACUAUGUGCAGAGCACUGUUCUAAGCGCUGGGGUAGAUACAGGGUAAUCAGGUUGUCCCACGUGAGGCUCACAGUUAAUCCCCAUUUUACAGAUGAGGUAACAGGCACAGAGAAGUGAAGUGACUUGCCCACAGUCACACAGCUGACAAGUGGCAGAGCCGGGAGUCGAACCCAUGACCUCUGACUCCGAAGCCCAGGCUCUUUCCACUGAGCCACGCUGCUUCCCCUGCUUUACGUCUCCUGUCUCCCAGAAUCUCCUGGGACCAGUCCUCAGAUGGCUCUUGCUCUGGAGAGAGGAUUGUGGGAAAAUAAACUCUCAGUGGGGGAUCUCUUGGUGGUGACCACUCUGACCGUGUCUGUCUGUCCUUACCCCCCGAGUGUCCCUCGGUGCCCAGGAAUAUCAUUUAUUGCACACUUACUUGUGCAGAGCACUGUAUUAAGUGCUUGGGAGAGUACAAUAGAACAAAUAUAACAGACACAUUCCCUGCCCACAGUGAGCUCACACUCUAGAGGGGGAAGGUGGAAGUGGACUGAAGAUCCCGGAUUUGCUCCCUUUGCUCAUAAUAAUAAUAAUAAUAAUGUUGGUAUUUGUUAAGCGCUUACUAUGUGCAGAGCACUGUUCUAAGCGCUGGGGUAAACACAGGGGAAUCAGGUUGUCCCACGUGGGGCUCACAGUCUUAAUCCCCAUUUUACAGAUGAGGGAACUGAGGCACAGAGAAGUUAAAUGACUUGCCCACAGUCACACAGCUGACAAGUGGCAGAGCUGGGAUUUGAACUCAUGAGCCCUGACUCCAAAGCCCGUGCUCUUUCCACUGCGCCACGCUGCUCCUCUACUCAUCCUCUGCUCAUCCCCCUCCACUCAUAUCUGUGAUUUAUUUAUUUCUAUUAAUGUCUAUCUCCCCCUCUGGACUGUAAGCUCCUAGUGGGCAGGGAAUGUGUCUGUUGCAUUGUUAUAUUAUACUCUCUCAAGAGCUUAGUAUAGAGCUUUACACACAGGAAGCACUCAAUAAAUAUGAUUGGCUGACUGACAU
rnacentral:lncRNA from 1 species